ensembl:lncRNA
UUUCAAUAUUUUAGGGUUGAUUACUGUGUUCAUUCACUACUAAUUUUUUUUUUUUUCUCUAGGGAGAACUUCUGAUGAUGCAGAUUUCUUGGGAAAUGUGUUGAUUUCACCAUAUUCAGGAAGGAUCGAUUAUCAUUUCUUGUGCCUAAGGGCUCACAUCUCCUGUCCUACAUGCUGCCUGAUUCAAACAAGGAUAUACUGGGGAAAAACUCAUUAUGUGAAAAGAGCAGAGUCAAGUCUACAUCCCUGAUAAGCUCUUCAUAGAAAAGAGACAGCUUCUUAUUUUUCAUAGUAAGUGAAAGCUUUUAAUGUCUACAGUAGAGAAGUUCACCAGCCUCUUCUCCUGGGAAUAAGCAGGAUGCCUUAUAAAGGAACAUAACAGAACAAAAAAGAUUCCUCAAACUCUGUUACAUACUAUUCCAAACAAUUAUUUUCCUGUACCUAGAAAAAGAAUUUCGUAAGUUCCAAAGUUUUG